AGCUCCAAUAGCGUAUAUUAAAGUUGUUGCGGUUAAAAAGCUCGUAGUUUGAUCUCGGCGAACAGGGGUCGGUUCGUUAUUUGACGGUACUGCCCCAUUUGUUCUUCUUUUUGCCCGGUGAUUGUUGUUCCCCUUUUUUUUGUGUCUCCGGUCGCUUGCAGGUUUACUUUGAAAAAAUUAGAGUGCUCAAAGCAGGCUUACACGCUUGAAUAUUCGUGCAUGGAAUAAUAGAAUAGGAAGUCGUUUCUAUUUUGUUGGUUUUCGGAAAAUGACGUAAUGAUUAAUAGGGACAAUCGGGGGCAUUAGUAUUCAAACGACAGAGGUGAAAUUCUUGGACCGUUUGAAGACUAACUACUGCGAAAGCAUUUGCCAAGAGUGUUUUCA
rnacentral:rRNA from 1 species